CGUGGGGACUGUCUGUGGGGGACCCACUCUCAGUCCAAGACCAAAUUGCCAGGUACUUCAGGAUACGAGUGUCCAUGACACUCAUUGUGUCCUCCCCGUCUUUGGCCAGAAGAGAGGCUCGGAGCGGUCUCGGAGUCUUAGGCCAUCUAGAGCAGGGGUUCCCAACCCUCUGGCCGGUGUACCCACCAGUCCAUGGCCUGUUAGGAACCGGGCGGCACAACAGGAGGUGAACAGCGAGCGAGCAAAACUUCAUCUGGGGCUCCCCACUGCUCUCAUUACCGCCUGAACCAUACCCCACCGCCCGCCACAGUGUGAACAGACUGGUGUUUGACAAGCAAGGAGCUUCGCCUGAAGGCCUUCCCGCACUCCUGACACACAGCGGUCUUUUCUGCAGCAUGAAUUUUCUGAUGUUGGAGGAGGUAUUUGUUAAAGUUGAAGAUUGCCUUGCAUCUGGCACAUUCGUAGAGUUUCCGAGUGUGAGUUUUCUGAUACCGGGUGAGAUGAAAGGUUUGGCUGAAACUCUCACCAUAUUCAUUACAUUUGUCGGAUUUGCCACCUGGGGGUGGUUUGUGACACUCAACAGGCUGUGAGUCUUGACCUGCUGGACCAUCACUGUCUUGACUCUUACAUGGUUCUUCUUCACUGUGAAUGUUCUGAUGCCACAGGAGGUAUGUAUUCUGACUAGAAGUCUUCCCGCACUUGUUACCCACAUAGGAUUUGGAGCCUGUGUGAGACACUGGCUGCACAAAAAGGCAAGAACUCUGGUUGACAUCUUUCUCAUUCUCUUGAGGCACAGUGGGGUCCUCCCUAGUGUGAAGAAUCCAGUGCUGGAUCAGAUGGUAGCUCUGGCUGAAGCUCUUCUCACACUGACCACAUUUAUAAGGUUUCUCCCCUCCCUGGAUGUUAUCCUGCUGGCUCUGGUCUGAGUAGCACCCAAAGUCAUUCCCACUUUCCUGAGACUUAGCGGGUGUCAGGCUCCUUUCAGGAAGAUCAGGAGUCACAGAACCUGCUCCUGGGAAAGGGAGGGACUUGGGACCAAGGCCUCUCUUGAGUUUGUGGCUCUCGAGUUCGUGGCUCUUGCAUUCUGUGGGACUUUCCUUGCUGGUAACAAUAUCGGACUUCAGAAGACUUUCCGGAUCUCCAAGCAAACUAUCUAACCAGCUCUGAUCUAUGUAGGCUUCUUCCAGAUGGGAGUUCCAGAGGCCAUCCUUGGAAAACAUCUCAGUAAUCUCCUGGAAGAUUCCUUCAUCCAAGAAGUCCUGUGGCAGAGGAGAGGUCUUGGCCUCAGCCGUGUCUGAAAGAGAGGGCAAGAGCAAAUGUCUCCUGUGCCCUGGGGGUUAAAGACGGGAGCUGAACGCUGAGAGCAGACAAAAGGGAGAACAGGUGAUGGGUCCUGAGUCAGGCCUAUCUGGCAAGGAGAUGAAGGAGACGGGGCCAGAGUGGUGAUCCAGCUGGAACUGGCAUCACAGGAAACAGAGCCCAUUUCCAGGAGGAUUAAGAGGGAAGCUGGGCAACCUCGAGGGUUCCACAGAGAAGUGGAGGCUCUCAGUGGAUACUCUCCACCAUCACCCCCAUCAGCUAAGGCCCACUUCCUAGAGAAGUGCACUCAAUGGAAAAGAGGUAUAAAUGAUAACAAUGCAAUAUGAUUGUUACCACGUGGUUAUCAUUGUAACCACAUCCAAAGGUGGUUUGCACAUGGUUACACAUGCUUGGAACCAGCCUGGAUGUUAAGGUGGCAGAAACAGAAAUCCACGAUUGCAGGAGCCUGGGCCUAUGUGAAAACACCUGUGUGCUCAACAGGAGGCUACAGAAGGUCCAUGUUCACAAGCUCACGAGAGGUGAGCAGAGAAUAGAGCUCCAGGCUGACGGCUGGGGUGCAGGCUGAGACUGAGCCAUGCAGCCUCCACUCCGUGGCCUCUGGUUCAGGGGUCCUUCUCCUCACGUUAACAGCCUAACAAUGAGAAAAGCCUCCAGUGCCCCAGGCAGGGCCCUGCCUCUGCUUUUUCCUCCUGGGGAUGUCUCAACCAGUGUUAACACCUGGGAAUCCUCACUGCUUGACUGGAUCCCCUGGAGAAACCGUGGCCUGGAAGAGGGCAGACCGAAGGCUCUUGGCAGCAUUUAGGCCCAGGCUUGAGUUACUAACAGAUGGGCCAUCUGCUAGGCCCUGUGGACCAGGAAGGAAGGAUGGGCCUGAAUGAAAGGGCGGUGAAACAGGUAGACAGGGGGUCCACAGUGCUCAAGGGGCACAAGGCAAGAAGGUGGAGAGACCAACUCAGGGAAUGGAAGGCCAACCCCUGCUGAGUCUGGAAGGAUGUGGAGGGGACAGAGGAAGGGCAACAGGACAACCAUGUGCUGAACACAGAGGCAGGCAGAGAUAAGGCAUGCUGGGUGAGGGUCCUGGACCUAAAGCCAGUGCAAGGCAGAGUGAAGCCCGGAAGCAGGGAAUCAAGCUGUCUGGGUAGACAAACUGGGUGGGAUGGAGGUCCAAAGAUGGAGGGCCCACAAAGGGCCACACCCCACGACCCCUCCACCCUCCUGCUCGCUGGGUGCUGGUGGGCCCUCUCUGCCCACUCACCAGGGCCUGUUGACUCUGGGCUUCCUUUCGCCAGGGCCGCCAGCUCUUCCCCAUCAUCUGGAUGGGAGGUCAGGCUGGGUCUGGGGGAAUCUGAAGGGAGAGAAAAGCAUUGUCACCAACCAGACGACAGCAGCAUGGAGAGUCAUCCAGCCACUGAGUGGGAACUUCCCAGCUCUCCUGACUAUUCAGCACCUUAUCCAGCGCACGGCUCCCAAGGACCAGAUGCAGCACUGGGUGACUCCAGGAACGCCUGCCCUACAGGGUUCCCAGUCCAGUGGAGGAGAGGGACCUGGACAGUCACAAUCCAGAAUGAUCAGAGCUGUGACAACUGGGCCUGGGAACACAAAGGAUCUGUAACAGCUCUUGAGGAAUGAGCAGAGUGGCCAGGGAGAGGCAGGUACUUCCUCGGUCAUCUGAGAUUCAUUCAUUCACCCAUGGACCACACACGGCCAGAGGCCUCCGUGGGCUAGGCCCCGUGAAGUGUGUUGGGGUCCCAGAGCUCAAUCCCGCACUCUACCCCCCUGCAAACUUUCUCAAGGAAGGGAGCACAGAGUUGUAAUCCCUGGGGAAAUGUGCUACAGUGGGGAGAAAGCCACUGCUAACUUCAAAGAUGAGAGGUCAUGAGCCCAGCAAGUAGGCUUCAUCUUUUAGCUGAAAGAGGGCAAGGAAAGAGAUUCUCCCCUACAGCCUCCAGAAGGAACCAGCCAUGCCCACACCUGGAUUUCAGCCAAGGCAGACCCACUUCAAACUUCUGACCUCCAUGGGGCUUCCCUGGUGGCGCAGUGGUUAAGAAUCCGCCUGCCAAUGCAGGGGACACAGGUUCGAGCCCUGGUCUGGGAAGAUCCCACAUGCCACGGAGCAACUAAGCCCGUGCGCCACAACUACUGAGCCUGCGCUUUAGAGCCCGCAAGGCACAACUACUGAGCCUGCGUGCCACAACUACUGAAGCCCACGCACCUAGAGCCCGUACUCUGCAACAAGAGAAGCCACUGCAGUGAGAAGGCCGCGCACCACAACGAAGAGUAGCCCCACUCGCUGCAACUAGAGAAAGCCCGUGCUCAGCAAUGAAGACCCAACUCAGCCAAAAAUAAAAUAAAACAAAUAAAUUAAAAACAACCACAAAAAACAAAAAACUUCUGACCUCCAGAACCAUCAGUCAGUGUGUGCUGUUUUCAGCCACAUUUGUGGCAUCUUCAAGAGCGCCAUAGCAAACGAUUACACCACUCAUAUAUAUAGACACACAAACGUGUGCCAGGGAGUCAAGGGAAACACAUUUCUACCAUGGAUUGUAAUUUAAAAAUUGCAGACACUGAGAUUUGACCUCCCACAAGCUACUUCUGUAGCGUACAUUGAGCAGUUUAGAGAAAAUCUGCCCCAAUGCAAUAAAAUUACAUGAAAUGAUA